CCCAGGGGACCACCAAGCCCACAGAACCAUCGGCUGCCUCCCAAGGAUGCUUUCCAGAGCUGCUCCAUCUCGGGCUACGGCCACUCCUGGAGAGGCACCAACUCCUGAGGACCACCUGGCUGUGGGAGCACAGCCUUGGGGACAGUAACUGCCUGGUGCCGAGGGCCGGUGCCCAGAGGGAACCUUGAGUUAGAAAUGCCAGGCAGGGAAACAAAACCCCUCUCAAUAAACCACUUCAGUUCAAGAGCA